rnacentral:rRNA from 1 species
AUUGAACGCUGGCGGCAGGACUAACACAUGCAAGUCGAACGAGUGGCGGACGGGUGAGUAAUGUCUGGGACACUGACAGAUAGAGGAGGAUAACUACGGGAAACGGUAGCUAAUACGACAUAACCUCAGAUGUGCACAGAUGAGAUUAGGAAGUUGGUGGGGGAACGGCGCACCAAGGCGACGAUCCCUAGCUGGUCUGAGAGGAUGCACAGCCACACUGGAACUGAGACACGGUCCAGACUCCUACGGGGUGCAGCAGGGGGGAAGAUUGCACAAUGGGCGAAAGCCUGAUGCAGCCAUGCCGCGUGUAUGAAGAAGGCCUUCGGGUUGUAAAGUACUUUCAGCGGGGAGGCGUUACCCGCAGAAGAAGCACCGGCUAACUCCGUGCCAGCAGCCGCGGUAAUUC